GCACGGUGAAUGCCUUGGCACUAGGAGCCGAUGAAGGACGGGACUAACACCGAUAUGCUCCGGGGAGCUGUAAGUAAGCUUUGAUCCGGAGAUUUCCGAAUGGGGAAACCCUCUAUCUUUAAUAGGAUAGAAUCUUUACCUGAAUACAUAGGGUAUUGAAGGCAGACCCGGGGAACUGAAACAUCUAAGUACCCGGAGGAAGAGAAAGCAAUUGCGAUUCCCUGAGUAGCGGCGAGCGAAACGGGAACAGCCCAAACCAAGAGGCUUGCCUCUUGGGGUUGUAGGACACUCUACAUGGAGUUACAAAGGAACGGGGUAGAUGAACAGGUCUGGAAAGACCGGUCAAAGAAGGUAAUAACCCUGUAGUCGAAACUUCGUUCCCUCCUGAGUGGAUCCUGAGUACGGCGGGACACGUGAAAUCCCGUCGGAAUCCGGGAGGACCAUCUCCCAAGGCUAAAUACUCCCUAGUGACCGAUAGUGAACCAGUACCGUGAGGGAAAG
rnacentral:rRNA from 1 species